AUCCUGGCUCAGAUUGAACGCUGGCGGCAGGCCUAACACAUGCAAGUCGAGCGGUAGAGAGGUGCUUGCAUCUCUUGAGAGCGGCGGACGGGUGAGUAAUGCCUAGGAAUCUGCCUAGUGGUGGGGGGAUAACGUUCGGAAACGGACGCUAAUACCGCAUACGUCCUACGGGAGAAAGCGGGGGGAUCUUCGGACCUCGCGCCAUUAGAUGAGCCUAGGUCGGAUUAGCUAGUUGGUGAGGUAAUGGCUCACCAAGGCGACGAUCCGUAACUGGUCUGAGAGGAUGAUCAGUCACACUGGAACUGAGACACGGUCCAGACUCCUACGGGAGGCAGCAGUGGGGAAUAUUGGACAAUGGGCGAAAGCCUGAUCCAGCCAUGCCGCGUGUGUGAAGAAGGUCUUCGGAUUGUAAAGCACUUUAAGUUGGGAGGAAGGGUAGUAACCUAAUACGUUGCUACUUUGACGUUACCGACAGAAUAAGCACCGGCUAACUUCGUG
rnacentral:rRNA from 1 species